rnacentral:lncRNA from 1 species
CAGCAACCAAAGUGGGCGUGGCCUGCCUCCUGCGGGGAGCACAAAGCUGUCUUUGCUGGAAUGGAAAGAGAUCUUGUUGUAAGAGGAGCGUUGGAUGAACCAGCCCCAACCCAGGGUCUAGAGUUUGAGGAGUGACAAGGGCAGAUCUCUAAGGAAGCGAAACUCCUCUGAGACCCGACAGGGAACCAGCUUCCUCGAGGAACCUGAGUGAAAGGUGUCUCUGAAGCCCUGAAAGGCCUCUCAGCUUGGCAUGGCCCCCCGCCCCGCCCCAGCUCGCUCUCUUGAUGCCCAUGUGUGUGACUUGACAGCAUUCCUGCCUUGCUGGCCCACUGCCCCACUCCAAGGAAGGACGCUCUCAAGGUCCAGGUCCCUGGCAGUGUCAGGGCAACAUCAGUGGAAUGAGAACCCUGCUGAGCACAUGGGGCAGCUGUUUCCGUGGGACCUGCUGUCCUGACCUGGGAGUGCCAUGCUGGGGACAUGCUGAGGACCACAGGAGGUGCAGGAGUGGCCUCCAGGGGCACAGCCCACCUCCACUGACCCCCUGGCUCCCUGAGGCAGAGACACGGGUGCAGAGCUGGCCUAUCACAUGCUCUUUCCUGGUACCCUGAGUUUUUGGGUGAAUGAAGAAAAGGAGGGAGGAGAGAGAGGGUGGUGACUCCUCCAGGGGACAUGCCCCAGGAUCUGAGCUUAGGGUGGAGCUGCUACGCCCUGGCCACCAUGGCUUCUGGUUUUCCAACCUGGUCUCCCCACCCUGUGAAGAGCCCACUAUCACACAUUGUCCUGGC